UACGAAGGGGGCUAGCGUUGCUCGGAAUCACUGGGCGUAAAGCGCACGUAGGCGGAUUGCUAAGUCAGGGGUGAAAUCCUGGAGCUCAACUCCAGAACUGCCUUUGAUACUGGCGACCUUGAGUCCGGGAGAGGUGAGUGGAACUGCGAGUGUAGAGGUGAAAUUCGUAGAUAUUCGCAAGAACACCAGUGGCGAAGGCGGCUCACUGGCCCGGUACUGACGCUGAGGUGCGAAAGCGUGGGGAGCAAACAGGAUUAAGAA
rnacentral:rRNA from 1 species